UUGUGAUUUGCAUCACCUCCCUUCCCUCCUGGUCUAAUGGCUUGAGGCACCCUGGAGAGAGAUGGCAAGUUUUAGGAGGCAAGAAAGUGACAUCACAGAGGGCACUUCACCUAGCAACAAUCUUUGUGCUACAGGCAGGCUCCUUUUCCCUUGCAACCCUCCUACAUGGAAAAACAAAGCCCAAAGGCACCAAACGUCUACAACUAUCCAUGUGGAAUGAAAAAACAA